rnacentral:rRNA from 1 species
GACCUUUGAUGCGGGCCGGGGCGGUACCUCGGGACAAAAGUGCGGGCAGUGGCGCCGUGCGGGUUUAGGUUAGGGGGGUCUAGAGGAAAUAGUAAAGGAAGACGCGGUGGGUUGGGGAGACGAAAGCUCCGGAGGCUGGUGGUAGGGAGGUACCGAGGGGCGGGUCACGGAAGGUUCCAGUGGGUACCUAGACAUGGGUGGCCGGUGGUGGUAGGUACCGAGGAGGCCAUAACCCUGUGCUGCAGCAGGGUAGAGGCAAGAUCUGUAGUGGUACACUGUGGUUGCGAACCGGACGAGGAGGUGGUGCCGGGUCGAGCCUGGUGCGGCGAUAGCUACGGCGGCAACUCUUAGGUGGGGUUGAGUUCGUCAAGUGGCCGCAGUACCUCCUUCGUGGCUCGUCGGCGUAACGUUUAUACUCCUUGUAGUAGUCACGUUCUUCAGGUCUAAGUGAGCUGCCGCUCUUUAUCAGAGUAUAAAAACAAGGUUUAUCAUACACGGUGAGGGGUGAAACUAUGAAUACUUGUGGGUAGACUCUAGAGGAAAAGGAACAAUGUCAAGUAGGUCUAGUCAUCAUGCUAAAUUCCAAGUACUAGGUCGAUAUUCUCUCCACAUUAUAGGAGACGGGAACUGUACCCGUUCGUAUGUUAACCAACAAGGACGACCUCUUCCAAAAACCCUUCUUAAUUUGCUUGUGGUAGUCACUUUGUAUCUCCGUUUUCGUCCACCAACUCCUCGUUUUAAGUUCUCAGCCCUAGAUACUCUAUACGUUCUCGGAGAUUAGUUCCCAUUGGAACUUCUCUCCGAACGUUGAAUUCGACAUUGGUUUCUAAUAUCUUUUACUCCAGAGAAGAAUACAUGUAAAUCAACUACGUGAACACACAAAAAUCUACAACGUGGAGACAAAAGUAACUGGAAGCUAAGUACAUACAUUUAAUAUACCUUGACAUAGGCUUCUGUACACUUAAACAUAGAGACCACUACCUUUGUUAACUAUCACUACAAAGAUACAAGAUUUAUAAAACUCAAUACCUUAUCG